GUAAUCCACACUUUGAGGGCG
rnacentral:siRNA from 1 species